GAUCGAGGCCCUUCCCUCGCCGGCUGCCGCGUAUUUGACUCAGUUUCUGCGUUCCGAUUAUCUGCGCAGCCGCGUACCCUGCAGUCAUAAUGGUUACGCUUACUGAGCAUUAGCUGUGCGUCGUCUCGGAGCAGGAGCUCCUGAGCUUCGUUCUGGAACCAAGAAGUCCGGCAUGAAGAUGUCAGCAGGAUCAUGCUUCUGUCUGAAGCUGUGGGUAAAAAGGUUUUCUUGCCUCUUCCUGGUUUCUGGCGGUGACCAGACAUCCUAGGAAUUCUUGGGGUUGUAGCUGCAUCAUUCGUAUCUUAACUGUUCCAGCAGAUGUUUUUUCUAUGUCUCUGUUUCUCUAAAAGGACAGAGUCCUCCGGGACAAAGGACCACCCUACUCCAGUGUAACCUGAUCUUAACUAAUUGUAUUUGCAAUGACAGUUUGCAGGUCAAGUCACGUUCUAAGUUUCUGGGAAGGACAUGAAUUUGGGGCGGGGGUGGGGUGACACUGGCUAGCCCCCUAUAGCUGUCAAAGAACUUGAGAAGUUGGCAAGCCAGAAGCUGAGGAUUUGCUGUAGUUCGCAGGAAUUCAAACGUAGUUCAGUUGGAUCCAGGAAGUUUUUGUGGACAUUUGAGCUAUUGCCUUGAUAGGUGGGUAGGCUUUGGAUGUGCCGUCAUAGCUCACGCCCAGCGUUCUGGGCAAACAAGCGUCACAGACAAGGUUGAACGUGAAGUAAGUUGGGUUAAAGCAGGAAGGAUCUUGAAUAGAAGCCAAAGAGUUCGGACUCUCUUCUGUCUGUAAAAUGAGAGUAAAAGUGUUUUGGCAGAGAAGUUGUGUUUUGAAGAUUAAUUAGUAACCUAGUCAAACCUGCUUUGUGUUACUUAGUCCAUUUAAGAAGUCUCAAAUCCUAUUCUCUGAGCAUAUCCUGUUAUUUUUCAUCCUGGUGUCUCUGCUCCUGCUGUCCCUUAUUCCCGGAGUGCUGCCAUCAAGGAGAGUUGUUCAACCCAUUUUAUGUUUGCAACCCACUAAUGCCAAAACCUGACCAACACAGCACAGGAAGAAAAAACUGCCAAACUCCCGUAAAUACAAACCCCUAAAAUAAAAUAUUAGCAGAUUCCGUUGUUCCCUCCAUCUGGAACCAAAAAGAUUUUAUCCUGGAAAUGAUACAACAUUAGAAAGCCUGUUUCUAUAAAUCACUGUAUUAAUAGUUUAAAUCUGUAUGAGGGUUAAAUCUGUAUGAUCAUCUCAGUUGAUAAAGUGUUUUUUGAAAAUA